CGACUUCCCCUGCUCUCGCAUGGGAUCGACAAUGGGCCAUAACUACUGGGCUUGGGCUGCUCGGUAGCCAGGCAACACGGCAACUACAAAUACAAGGGAUAGAGUUACGAACAACUUGGCUAGGAACUGGACGGCUUCGGCCUCCUCUGCUUCUGUAUCUCCUCCCUCUCGUGUUCCUCUCCUCUGUAAUGGCUAGACCUUGGUGAAUCCAUGGCUUGUAGUUCUAAUUGAUGAGGAAUAGAUCUCUGUGAGAAGAGUGCUGUUAACAAUUGGUAUUCAGAGCCAAUCGAUUCCUCCACGCAAAAUCCACACAAAAUUUCCCCACCGUAAUCGAUCUCCAGCCAUGUCAUGGGGAUCAGCUUGGGCUGGCCGCCCUGAUCGAGUGUUCACGUCGGUGGAGGACCCGCAGCAGCGACGCCUCGCCGAGUGGAUGGACCAAGACAAGCAGGCGCGGCAUCGCGCCGAGUUUGGCAUCCGUAUUGCAGCCAUCGCGGCGCAGGUGGCUUCCGAGAUGUCGGCGGCGGUAGCAUCGGAGGUGUCGGCUGCCGUUGCCGCGGCGCUACAGUCUGCGCGGGCGGGGCACCACGAGUACCUCGACCUUGAGUCCACGACCACAUCGACCCCAACUGCUCCAGUGGCGGACGACCUCGCCUCUCCCACCGCAGCAUCAAAUUUGUCCGAGGUCAUCGUCGGUGUCGUCACCGAGUGUGGCUGCACCGACCUCGAGCCCACGGCCGCGACCUUAACUCUGACCUCCGCACUGGACAUCUCGGGCGCCUGUUCAGCGAUGAACUCGCUCGCGCUCCCUACAACCAGUGGCUGCUCCGCCGUGGUGCACACCACGUGUUCGACGCAAUGCGCAAGCCGCACCGUCACCAUGUCGGUGUCAGCGACAGCUCCAGCCACAAUGUCAGCUUCGUCCAAGGUCACCGGCGAUGUCGUUCCCGAGCUCUGCUGCCUUGACCUUGAACCAUCAGAUGUCCUCGAGCUUAUCAGAACGCCGCCCAAGUGUUCGACAGAAGGUUUGAAUGACGACCCCGUGGUCAUGCAUGAAUAGCAGGAGCGCUCCAAGGAAUAUGAACAUUCAGUACAAGAUGCCAACAUGCCCUGUGUGCUUCAUGUCAUCAACAGUUGUGAGUUCCCUGGAACUACCAACCAGGUCAAAACUGCAGCCCUUCGCCCAACUAAAUCAAUCACCGAGCACAAGCUAAUUGGUGUGGAUUCACUGCACACACCGUGGACUCCAGCGAGGAGCACAACUUGUAGAAUGUUCAACGUGCAAGGUACACUGUAUGUUAUGCAGUUAUCAGGGGAAUUGCAAGACUUGGAAACAGUGGAACCUACAGGGAGUGCACCUCUCACUGUGAUUUAUAGUGUUCCUGGAGUUCAAACGGCACGGCUGAAUCCAACUGUAUUCAAGUGGUCAGAUCUUUUUUGUUUUGCCACACAAUUUCUUAGUGCAAGCACUCUUGAUUUAUUACUAGCGAAGCGAGAUGCACCUACUAUGAUUGGGAAUUUGUGCUGUGAGAUUCAGAGCAGGGGAAUAAUAAUAGAGAGACCAUAUUGGCAAUUGAUUGCGGAAGUAAGUUUGGAAGCACUCAAGCUUUCAUGGCUGCCACCUCAAGGUAUUAUUUGUGUACCACUCAGAAUUUCUCUGCUGAAGAAAUCAAUUGGCAUAUCUCGACAAUUCUAUUGGGAGGGUACAAAUUCUUUUGCAGUAGUGUGGGCACUGACUUUGCAAGUGUACGAGCAUAAGAACAGAUGCAGUUUACUAGAACAUGAUACAUCAGUGGUGCUCCUUAUUGCUCAUGGUACUACUAUCGUUCAGUGCAUCCUUGUGCAUCAGGAGAGGUCCAUUGGAAGUUUGAAGAUUGAUAUGUCAACUAGAGAUAUAAUUGCAGCAUUACAUAGGAAGAAGCCAAGGCCUUGUUGGACGACAUUUUUCUAUGGCCACCAGUUACACUAUUCUGACCAGUCAGAUUCAGUUACAAAUGUUUUUCAGAACCAGCACAGAACUGAAUAUUCUAUUGGAAGAGUCAUUCUUGAGGAUUUCCAGUGGGCACCUGCUUGGUCCUUUUCCAUGGAGUUUUUGCUAUUUGGAGAUGAAUGUUCGUUUGAAGCUCUGUUGGGCUUCCACAUCUAUAGUGCGUGUUUGUUGGAUAAAAGCAUGGGGAUCACUCUAGGGAGCGAUGCAAGCUGCGGUGAAUGCAUAAUAAUCAGUCCUUGCCGUCCCCAAUUUCAACCCGAACCAUGUGAAGGUACUUGUUUCUAUAGCUUUCGUGUUGUAGUUUUUUCACGAGUUGUUCCUGCGAUGAGGCUUGCAUACUUUGAGAGGCCUGGAAUGGGGCUAUAUCAGGAAUAUAUGCAGCUGAUUGGUAUGAUUGGGAGGCAGGUUCCUGCUCUUGAUUUGUGGGCUACCAGAAUUGUGUUCCAGCCAAGGGAAACAGAGGGCGUGCAGCCUAGCGCAUAUUCCUUCUGUUUGGAAAUUUCCUUUCAACACCGCCCAUGUUUCCAACGAACAAGUUUCCAGUUCAGGAGGUGUGCUACUCUGAACCUCUCAACCACAAGCUUGGUAAUGGCAGUGGCCUUUCCACCGGUAUUUGAAGAGGGACAGACAAGUGCCAUGCUCUGUAUGGACCAGAUGAUGAUGAAAACUGGGCAUGUUAUUCAAUGUGGUCUGGAGUAUGUCCAAUGGGAGAUUGCACGGUCACUUAACUUGAAGUACAUGGAUAUCAUCAAACAGUCCAAGCAACAAAUUCUUGCCGCAACAUACCCUGAGUUAUAUUUUUCAUGGGAUCCAGGCAAUGUCGUAGCACAAAAUAUCCUGCUUCCAACCAGACCAUGGGCUCUGGCAUCAGCCAAUCGACAUGUUGCUAGGAUCUCCUCUUAUGUGCCUGUUCUUGGGGGAGAAUUCUUUGCUCCAUGGAAUAAUGGUAGCUGCAACAGGGGGAGCUGUCAUUGCAGAGUGCUAGUCUAUCUUCACAUGGACGAGUUCAGUUGCCUAAGAAUACAGUAUCCUAACGGCAAAAGGCUCAUCGGGGAAGAGUGUUCCUAUGAAAGAUUUCCUGGCCAAUGGUUCUGGAGCACUCUACUAUUGACAAGACACCUAAUUCCUGUAGAAACACUGAGGUCCUUCGCACAAGCUAAAGCUACAGCAGGGAUGAAGGUUGAAGCUCCAACCUUCUAUUGCGUCUGCUACCUUGGCCAAGACCCCGACGGCCACAACUACUACAUCGUCCUCAUUCAAGUGCAUCCCGUCAUUCGACUACGGCUACCACGACGAGCCCAUUACCACCAGCAAAAUUCAAGUGCCAUGGGAUCCUGGUGGUUCAACAUGGCGUCGGCUUGAGGUCAAGCCGAAAAUUAAGGAGGGGGGAAUGUUAGCGACUUCCCCUGCUCUCGCAUGGGAUCGACAAUGGGCCAUAACUACUGGGCUUGGGCUGCUCGGUAGCCAGGCAACACGGCAACUACAAAUACAAGGGAUAGAGUUACGAACAACUUGGCUAGGAACUGGACGGCUUCGGCCUCCUCUGCUUCUGUAUCUCCUCCCUCUCGUGUUCCUCUCCUCUGUAAUGGCUAGACCUUGGUGAAUCCAUGGCUUGUAGUUCUAAUUGAUGAGGAAUAGAUUUCUGUGAGAAGAGUGCUGUUAACAGUACAUGGUUGGAUACGGGCAGCCCACACGGUGGAUGGCGACGGGAGAUGAUUCCACCCACCAUCAACCCAAACCCAAGGUGAAACUUCCUUCACAGUUCAUCAUCCAAAAGAAAUUCC
rnacentral:lncRNA from 1 species